rnacentral:rRNA from 1 species
GGGGAAUAUUGCACAAUGGGCGCAAGCCUGAUGCAGCCAUGCCGCGUGUGUGAAGAAGGCCUUCGGGUUGUAAAGCACUUUCAGUCGUGAGGAAGGUAGUGUAGUUAAUAGCUGCAUUAUUUGACGUUAGCGACAGAAGAAGCACCGGCUAACUCCGUGCCAGCAGCCGCGGUAAUACGGAGGGUGCGAGCGUUAAUCGGAAUUACUGGGCGUAAAGCGCAUGCAGGUGGUUUGUUAAGUCAGAUGUGAAAGCCCGGGGCUCAACCUCGGAAUUGCAUUUGAAACUGGCAGACUAGAGUACUGUAGAGGGGGGUAGAAUUUCAGGUGUAGCGGUGAAAUGCGUAGAGAUCUGAAGGAAUACCGGUGGCGAAGGCGGCCCCCUGGACAGAUACUGACACUCAGAUGCGAAAGCGUGGGGAGCAAACAGG